GAAAAUUUGUUAAACCUUGAUUGACAAUGUUAGACUUAUGAUGAUCCAAUUGGACUUAUUCAAGUUGAUUUGAAUUGGAUUUGAAGUUUGACCUUUAUUUGUACAUUUUAUUUUAUGCAUUAUUUAAAUUCCAAAAAAAUACCAAAAAUAUGUUUGACCUUUCUUGACUUCUAAGUUUCAUUUCACUUCUAUUUACCAUUGAUUGAUGUUGAUUCCAUUCAUGUUUGAUCAAUGUGUUUUGGUUAUGUCAUUUGAAUUUCCAUUUUUGUA
rnacentral:lncRNA from 1 species